rnacentral:lncRNA from 1 species
UAUAUAUAUUGGAGUUAAGCAAAACCUCAGCUAGAUUUUGUAGUCUCUUCUUUACCCCUGUCUUGUGCUUAAUUUUUUGGCUUCUAUGAUGUUGGAUCAAAUGCUAAGCCACCAAGUAAAUGGAUCUUAAUAAUUUCUUAAAACUUAAUGUUGCUGCAUGAAAGGUAGAGAAAGAAAUUGUAAGUUAAAUAUACACCAUUAGAUUGAUAGGACACAGCACAAUCACCACAAAUAGGUUUAGUUUCAGAAAACAACCAGAAGUUGGCUCUAUAUUUUGGGUGAUAUGAGGAUGCUACUGGGCUACCAUGAAUUUUUCUACAGCAUAUAGUAUACCCUUAUGUGCCUCUGCCUAAACCUUUUCAACCCAACUUUUUGGUAAUUUGAUAUUUGUUGGGAAGCUCUUUUGAAGUGAUGCCCAUUGGUAUAGGUCCUGGCUUCAAAUUCAGUGUGGAUUUUAUAUGGUGAAUAUUCUUGGUGGGGACACAAACCACCGUUUCCAGCAUGUAUACAGGCGUCGCCGGCGUGCAUAGCACUUUGGCCACCCUAGUUUUAUUUUCGUGCGUAUUUUCAUUUAUUUCUUAUGUAUUUUCGUAUUUUAUUAGUUGCUGGCUUGUUUGAUUGUAUUUAGCUAGUGUAGUGACCCAUGAUGUUGUUGGAUCAUGGGUAGUUACAUGAUCUCAUUUGUGGGGAUCAUGGGUAGUUGUAUU